GCUGGGCACGAUGGCGCACGCCUGUAAUCCCAGUGACUCAGGAGGCUGAGGCAGGAGGAUCGUGAGUUCAGAGCCAGCCUCAGCAAAAGUGAGGCACUCAGCAACUCAGUGAGACCCUGUCUCUA
rnacentral:sRNA from 1 species